UGCGAUUUCUUCUUUUGAUGAGAUAGGGUACAUGCACUCAGAACGUUCAUAAUUCAUCUACUCUUUCAUGUGCAUCAGAUGAAGAAAAUCGUACUAGAAAUCGCAGCAAAAAGUGUAAAUGGCUUUUAGAUAAAUGAGUAAACUUGAAAGUUAUUUAUAGCUGCUCAGUUUCGGCGUCAGUAACAAAGAAUGUUGAAUUUCUAUCCUUUAGGAUGAACCGACGACUGGCAUGGACCCUAAAGCAAGAAGAUUUUUAUGGAAAAUUAUUUCUGAUAUUGUUAAGGAUGGACGUACAAUUAUUUUAACUUCGCACAGGUAAGCAUGCACAUGCAUUUCCUACCCGAAAACUACUUUUUGUUUUGUGAGAAUAUUUAUUCUAAUCCGGUUAUAUGGAUUACAAAUUUUCCUUUUUUCAUCGCAAGAUUUGUGUUAUUUGUAUAAACAAAAUACAAAACAAUUCUGAAUACAUUUGAAGCAAUUUGAACGGACUUGGAGUACAAUGUUGUAUAGAGAACAUAGAAGUAUUUAUUUCCAUCGAGUUAUUGGAAAACUCGUGUAGCUUAAGAGAAUUUAAAAGAACGUGGAAACACUGACCCUAAUCCGGUCUAAUUUUUGGUUCUCCCAAAUUUCUAUUACGCAGAGUAGUUUCCAUCAUCCCUAUUUGCCGGGAUUUGAUUUGACUUUAUUGACACUCCCGUAAAGGGGCUUUUCAGUGACUUAAAUUUACAAUAUUAUUACACUAAAUUCUAAAUAAUUUAUAUAAUUUGUGAGAACACAAUUGUGAACAACGACAACGACGACAACAAUAGCAACGACGACGAGAAGUACAACAACAAAAACGGCAGCAACGGCAAACAACAACGACAACAAUAACCACAACAAAAACAGCAGCAACGGCGACAACAACGACGACAACAACAACAGCAACGGCAACAACAACGACGACAACAACCACAACAACCACAACAACAACAGCAACAAUAACAACGGCAACAACAACAACAACAGCAACGGCAACAACAACGACGACAACAACCACAACAACAGCAACAGCAGCAACAAUAACAACGGCAACAACAACAGCAGCAACAACAACGACGAUGACAACAACAACAACAACAGCAGCAGCAGCAACGGCAACAACAACGACGACAACAACCACAACAACAGCAGCAGCAGCAACAAUAACAACGGCAACAACAACAACAACAGCAACAACGACAACAACGACAACAACAGCAACAACAACAACAACAACGACAACAACAGCAACAACAACAACAGCAGCAACAACAACAACAACAGCAGCAACAACAACAACAACAACAACAUACAACAGCAACAAUAACAACAACAACAACAGCAACAACAACAACAACAACAACAACAACAACAA